AUAUCUUACCCUGAUGGAUUUUGUAAUAUCCAUUCUCUAAUGUUUUUGUACUUGUCGAUGUUAUAGUCUUCUAAAGUAUUAGUUGGCAUUGUUGAUGAAGAUUGUGUCUGUUUUUACUUACCUUUUUUUUUUCUUUCAUCGACCUUUCCACUUCUUCAAUAUGUUCUGAUGUUGAAGGGAUUUCGAAUUCAAUUGGACUUGUAUGAGGAGGCAUAUCUUACUUUAUAGAGCUGACAAUUGUUUCCACGUGUGAUUUCCAGUCGGAUAACUGAUUCUGCAUACUUUGAUUUUGUUCAUCAAUGUAAGAUUUUGCUGAACUGAAACUGGUAUCCACAUAAGAUUGCAUGCCUUGGAAGUAGUCUUGUUGGCUUUUUUGCUGAUGUUCAAAAAAAUGUUUUUGACUGUGAAGAAUCAUUUGGUAGUGAGCUUCUUGCUUUUUAAAAAUUGUAUGAUAGCGAGUUUCUUGUUUUGUUGAUUCUUCAAUCAUUUGUGUUUUUAAUCUGUCAUAGAAACCAAAUACAUUUUACACUACUUGUUGUUUGUAUAUGUUGAACAUCUGAUCCAUAUCUUGUUUAGUUACAUAGUUAGAGCUAUCAGAAGAAGUAGAUCCAAUUCCAGUUGAAGUGCCUAUAGUUGUUUCUUGCAUAUAUAUGUUAUCAGUUGGAAUUUGUUGCGUUAUAUUGUCGAAUUCACCCUUGAUAAUGCCAUCUAGUAUACGAUGUUGGUUAUCAGCUAAUAGUGAAAGAUUUGUAUACCAAAAUGUUUCUAAUUCUUCUUCAAUACGAUUUAGUACAGCAAUUACUUCAAUCCAUAAUUGUAAUAAAAUAUUAGAUUUAUGUUUUUAAAUUUAUUUAUAAAUAAUUAAAUACAUAUUUAAUUGUAAAUUAAAAUAAAUCAUACCUCUUGAAUAGCCAAAAUUUGUUUAAUGAUUUGUUCCGUUAAUACUAUUUUGGGCUUCCAUUUAUGCAUUCGUGGACACUGUAAGCUUUUACGGGUACGACGUCCAAUUUGUCGUCCAAUUUGAGAAAAA
rnacentral:lncRNA from 1 species